GAUGAACGCUAGCGGCAGGCUUAACACAUGCAAGUCGAGGGGCAUCACGGGUAGCAAUACCUGGUGGCGACCGGCGCAAGGGUGCGUAACGCGUGAGCAACAUGCCCUAUACAGGGGGAUAAUCCAGGGAAACUUGGUCUAAUAUCCCAUAGCAUUUAGAGGUGGCAUCACCAUUAAAUUAAAGCUUCGGUGGUAUAGGAUUGGCUCGCGUGACAUUAGCUAGAUGGUGGGGUAACGGCUCACCAUGGCUAUGAUGUCUAGGGGUUCUGAGAGGAAGACCCCCCACACUGGGACUGAGACACGGCCCAGACUCCUACGGGAGGCAGCAGUGAGGAAUAUUGGACAAUGGAUGGAAAUCUGAUCCAGCCAUGCCGCGUGCAGGAAGACGGCCCUAUGGGUUGUAAACUGCUUUUAUAUGGGAGCAAUAAGGUCUACGAGUAGACCGAUGAGAGUACCAUAUGAAUAAGC
rnacentral:rRNA from 1 species